rnacentral:rRNA from 1 species
UACGUAGGCGGGAAAUUAAGUCAGUAGUGAAAUCCCACAGCUUAACUGUGGAACUGUUAUUGAUACUGGUUUUCUUGAAUAUAGUUGAGGUAGGCGGAAUGUGUAAUGUAGCGGUGAAAUGCUUAGAUAUUACACAGAACACCGAUUGCGAAGGCAGCUUACUAAACUGUUAUUGACGCUGAGGUACGAAAGCGUGGGGAGCGAACAGGAUUAGAUACCCUGGUAGUCC